UGUUUUCCCCCCCUCUAUAUAGCUUCAGACUUUAUUUUCAGAAGGGCAACAAGUGACACUCACAACUUGCUUCAGGCAAAGUAUGUCACCAUUUCGUGGACACAGCAGUACAUAUUGUCAAUCUGCACCAUCUCCAGGACAUGGGUAUCGGUCAACUUCUCAUAUACUUAGUCUUGGGACAUCUCAGAACCAAACAGAACAUUCACUUCAGCAUACAACUUAUUCAAGUCCAGUACAUUCUUCUUCCUCUUGUUCUUCUUCCUCGUUGGACUCCCCUGUGGUGCCUAUAGCUGGGAGCUCUGGGCACUAUAAUAAUAGUUUGUUGCAUUCUGGGAGCAACAUACUUUUGCACAGUGGCAGCCUUGCAAAGUCCAAUGUGCUGGGUAGCCAGACUAUGACGAGUGUGGCUUGUUCUGCAACCCAAAGCAACUGUAAGACUGGAAUGACAGAUUCCUUAAUGGCUGCCUCAACGUCUAAUGCUGCUUCUGUUAAUUCAACCUCAUUGUCUGUAAACUCCAGGUUAAUGCAAUCUGGAUUACGAACUUUAAGUCCUGCCAGCCCUGGACAAACAGUACUUCAGUCUGGAACCAAACUGUUGGCAGCAGCAAACUCUCAGCACUAUCAACAGCGAGGGACUGCCAUAAACCAGUAUCAGCACCCACAAAUACAUGGAUCUGGUGUACGGACACAGUCAGGAACUUACUAGAAUUUUUGGACCUUCCAUUUGUGGUGCGUGAUAAAUGUAACUUGAGGCCUCAAUCAGUCCUUUUGGAGGGAUUUUACACCAGGACUUAUACGGACUCAGCAUUAUUAUUCCUUUAAACAGGUGCAGUCAUGAAGAAGAAGAAGAAAGGAACGAGGCUGAGAAGAAGGCUGAAGACUCUGAUGGAAGGGAAGGCAAGAAAGAAAAUUGGUUUGUGUAUUCCUAGGAUGUGACAUCUGGUGGCCUGUUAAAGAGUAAUAAAGAGAAGACCAUGAUGAAGACAUGUCUGUCUCAGCAGCCAUAUUGAGAGUCAUGUUAUAGCAAAGCAAGCUGAAGAUGAGCCGAGAGCCACAAGAUGCACUGCUACUUAGGCCGCAAGGGUACGGUUGGUCAAUAAU